GUUCCCACAAGCCAUAUUCCAACAAUAAUUAUACCUUGUUGGGUUGCUAGCACAAUAUUCAGUAAAAUAGCCAAAAGAAAUUCAAUUGAUUCCCUUUGUAGAGAAAAUUGACUAGGCCUAAUUCCACCUCAUAAGUUUGUUCAAGGAAAAGAGGUUUUCCAAAUCAUAUAUUUAGUACAAAUUCCUAAUCCCAAACCAAUGUGGGACAAGACACCUUUUUCUCGCUUUGGUAUGAAUAUUUGGAGCAUGAAGUUUGCAGGCAUGAACAUUUUCGGGUGGCCCAACAUUGGAGCAGGGUAACUCUGAUACUAUGCAGAGAAAGUGAACGGGAUCUAACUCUACCCCAAAAGCUAACUCAAGGAGAAGAGGUUUGCCUAAGUCAUAUAUUUAGCAGAAAUUCCUUAUUCCAAACUAAUGUGGGACCAUUCUU
rnacentral:misc_RNA from 1 species